CAGGUGUCGCAAGACUUAAUAGGGAAGUCGGUUAAAGCCGACGCGGUCCCGCCACUGUAACAGCGAGUGCCUCUGCAAUAUGCCACUGGGAAAACUGGGAAGGUGCAGAGAAACGAUGAACUGGAGCCAGGAGAACUGCCUGAUUUA
rnacentral:ncRNA from 1 species